rnacentral:rRNA from 2 species
GACCUCGCGCUAUAAGAUGAGCCUACGUCGGAUUAGCUUGUUGGUGGGGUAAUGGCUUACCAAGGCGACAAUCCGUAGCUGGUCUGAGAGGAUGGCCAGCCACACUGGGACUGAGACACGGCCCAGACUCCUACGGGAGGCAGCAGUGGGGAAUAUUGGACAAUGGGGGAAACCCUGAUCCAGCAAUGCCGCGUGUGUGAAGAAGGCCUUCGGGUUGUAAAGCACUUUCGGUGGGGAAGAAAUUCUCAAGGGUAAUAUCCUUGGGCAUUGACGUUACCCACAGAAGAAGCACUGGCUAACUCUGUGCCAGCAGCCGCGGUAAUACAGAGAGUGCAAGCGUUAAUCGGAAUCACUGGGCGUAAAGCGCGCGUAGGUGGAUAUUUAAGUCGGAUGUGAAAGCCCUGGGCUUAACCUAGGAAUUGCACCCGAUACUGGAUAUCUUGAGUAUGGUAGAGGGAAGUGGAAUUUCCGGUGUAGCGGUGAAAUGCGUAGAUAUCGGAAAGAACACCAGUGGCGAAGGCGACUUCCUGGACCAAUACUGACACUGAGGCGCGAAAGCGUGGGGAGCAAACAGGAUUAGAGACCCUGGUAGUCCACGCCGUCAACGAUGAGAACUAGCUGUUGGGAAGUUUACUUCUUAGUAGCGAAGUUAACGCGUUAAGUUCUCCGCCUGGGGAGUACGGCCGCAAGGUUAAAACUCAAAGAAAUUGACGGGGGCCCGCACAAGCGGUGGAGCAUGUGGUUUAAUUCGAUGCAACGCGAAAAACCUUACCUACCCUUGACAUCCUCGGAACUUGUCAGAGAUGAUUUGGUGCCUUCGGGAACCGAGUGACAGGUGCUGCAUGGCUGUCGUCAGCUCGUGUCGUGAGAUGUUGGGUUAAGUCCCGUAACGAGCGCAACCCUCGUCCUUAGUUGCCAGCGAGUCAUGUCGGGAACUCUAAGGAGACUGCCGGCGAUAAACCGGAGGAAGGUGGGGAUGAUGUCAAGUCAUCAUGGCCCUUACGGGUAGGGCUACACACGUGCUACAAUGGGCAGUACAAAGGGUUGCCAAACCGCGAGGUGGAGCUAAUCCCAGAAAACUGCUCGUAGUCCGGAUUGGAGUCUGCAACUCGACUCCAUGAAGUUGGAAUCGCUAGUAAUCGCGAAUCAGCAUGUCGCGGUGAAUACGUUCUCGGGCCUUGUACACACCGCCCGUCACACCAUGGGAGUG